UACGUAGGGGGCAAGCGUUGUCCGGAAUUAUUGGGCGUAAAGCGCGCGCAGGCGGCUCUGUAAGUCCGGUGUUUAAUCUUGGGGCUCAACCCCAAGUCGCACGGGAAACUGCAAGGCUUGAGUGCAGAAGAGGAAAGUGGAAUUCCACGUGUAGCGGUGAAAUGCGUAGAGAUGUGGAGGAACACCAGUGGCGAAGGCGACUUUCUGGGCUGUAACUGACGCUGAGGCGCGAAAGCGUGGGGAGCAAACAGG
rnacentral:rRNA from 1 species